rnacentral:rRNA from 1 species
UACGAAGGGGGGCUAGCGUUGUUCGGAUUUACUGGGCGUAAAGCGCACGUAGGCGGAUCGUUAAGUCGGGGGUGAAAUCCUGGAGCUCAACUCCAGAACUGCCUUCGAUACUGGCGAUCUUGAGUCCGGAAGAGGUGAGUGGAACUCCUAGUGUAGAGGUGGAAUUCGUAGAUAUUAGGAAGAACACCAGUGGCGAAGGCGGCUCACUGGUCCGGUACUGACGCUGAGGUGCGAAAGCGUGGGAGCAAACAGG